rnacentral:rRNA from 1 species
UAGCAAUAUCAUAGUGGCGCACGGGUGCGUAACACGUAUGCAACCUACCUUAUACUGAGGGAUAGCCUUUCGAAAGGGAGAUUAAUACCUCAUAACACAUUGAACUGGCAUCAGUUUAUUGUUAAAGAUUUAUUGGUAUAAGAUGGGCAUGCGUCCAAUUAGUUAGUUGGCGAGGUAACGGCUCACCAAGACGAUGAUUGGUAGGGGAACUGAGAGGUUAAUCCCCCACACUGGCACUGAGAUACGGGCCAGACUCCUACGGGAGGCAGCAGUAGGGAAUAUUGGGCAAUGGAGGCAACUCUGACCCAGCCAUGCCGCGUGCAGGAAGAAGGCGUUAUGCGUUGUAAACUGCUUUUAUAUAGGAAGAAAUAGACCUUGCGAGGUAAGUUGACGGUACUAUAUGAAUAAGCACCGGCUAACUCCGUGCCAGCAGCCGCGGUAAUACGGAGGGUGCAAGCGUUGUCCGGAUUUAUUGGGUUUAAAGGGUGCGUAGGCGGUUUAUUAAGUCAGUGGUGAAAGACGGUCGCUCAACGAUUGCAGUGCCAUUGAUACUGGUAGACUUGAGUGGGAUUGAGGUAGCUGGAAUGGAUAGUGUAGCGGUGAAAUGCAUAGAUAUUAUCCAGAACACCAAUUGCGUAGGCAAGUUACUAAGUCUCAACUGACGCUGAGGCACGAAAGUGUGGGUAUCAAACAGGAUUAGAUACCCUGGUAGUCCACACUGUAAACGAUGAUAACUAACUGUUGGC